rnacentral:rRNA from 1 species
UAAGGAAUAUUGGUCAAUGGACGCAAGUCUGAACCAGCCAUGCCGCGUGAAGGAUGAAGGUCCUCUGGAUUGUAAACUUCUUUUAUCUGGGACGAAAACGGGAUUUUUAUCUCAAUUGACGGUACCAGAGGAAUAAGCACCGGCUAACUCCGUGCCAGCAGCCGCGGUAAUACGGAGGGUGCGAGCGUUAUCCGGAUUUACUGGGUUUAAAGGGUGCGUAGGUGGGCUUAUAAGUCAGUGGUGAAAUCUCCGAGCUUAACUUGGAAACUGCCGUUGAUACUAUAGGUCUUGAAUUAUCUGGAGGUAAGCGGAAUAUGUCAUGUAGCGGUGAAAUGCUUAGGUAUGACAUAGAACACCAAUUGCGAAGGCAGCUUACUACAUAUAAAUUGACGCUGAGGCACGAAAGCGUGGGGAUCAAACA